rnacentral:rRNA from 1 species
GGGCCCGCACAAGCGGCGGAGCAUGCGGAUUAAUUCGAUGCAACGCGAAGAACCUUACCUGGGUUUGACAUCACUCGAAAACUCGUAGAGAUACGGGGUCCUUCGGGGCGGGUGACAGGUGGUGCAUGGCUGUCGUCAGCUCGUGUCGUGAGAUGUUGGGUUAAGUCCCGCAACGAGCGCAACCCUCGUUCGAUGUUGCCAGCGGGUUAUGCCGGGGACUCAUCGAAGACUGCCGGGGUCAACUCGGAGGAAGGUGGGGAUGAGGUCAAGUCAUCAUGCCCCUUAUGUCCAGGCUUCACGCAUGCUACAAUGGCCGGUACAAAGGGCUGCGAUAUCGCAAGAUGGAGCGAAUCCCAAAAAGCCGGUCUCAGUUCGGAUUGGGGUCUGCAACUCGACCCCAUGAAGUCGGAGUCGCUAGUAAUCGCAGA